ACCAGAACCUAAAGGAGACAGAGCCCAGGGGACGACACAGGGCCAGGGGUUUGGAGCACAGGGCUACGGCUUAGGGCUGGAACAGUGGGUGUGGCGGAAGGCAGAGUGGUCCGCUCGGAAGCGGUGGAAGGGGCAGAGUGCCCGGUCUCCGACCCCGCCGCGCUGCGGGGGCCCAGGUUUGCAAUCGCGGUCAGCCGCAUCUCUCUCUUCUGGGCAGAGCUUGACACCUCCCCUUGGGCUCCCAGAGGACUCUGUCCCUGUUCCAAUGUUGAGCUCAUCACAGUGGAUGGACACUGUCAGUGUGAGGCCAGCGUAAGGUGCUGCUGUAAGGCCGAAGCCUUCUCUCAACAGGAGCCCCGCUCCCCUCCCUCUCUGGGGCCCUCAGCAUUGAAUCCUGGGUCAGCACCCGGAACCAGAAACAAGGCGUUACCAGAAUCUCAGAAGCCCUUCAACCCCCUCCCGCUGCCAUGAGUCUCAAAACACCUUCCCAGUAUUGGGAAUCCAGGGCUUCCUGUGUGCCAGGAAUUCUGAACCAAGGAGGAGAAGAGAGGGGCCCGAGGCAGAAGGGAGGUCACUGAAGGAGAAGAGCUUAGGGACAGAGGCUGUAGAAAGGCCUAGGUGUGACGGAUUGUCAGAGAAAAGAAGAGAGACUUUGGUUUUGACACUGUUUUCAAACAAUGGUAGUUACCAGGAAAGAAACUAGCCGCUGUACAACUAUAGCCUGAAUACAGAAAGACUGACGAAGAAUAACAAACGUGUGUCUCAAGUGAUGCAAAUCUAUGCAUGUGUCAACAAGAGCAAACAGAUUCAGAUGGGCAUGCAGAGCACAACGGGAGGGGUGAUGGGGCCGACUGUAGUUAGUCUUUGUUUUCCUUUUCUUGCCUGAUGAAAAAUUUGCAAUUUUACACUGUCACGAAGCAAUCAAAACUGUGAUUAUGCUUCACAAUUUUGACAGCUAAUUUCAUGUACUUUAAAUAGUUCUGUUCUGUUUUAGGCAAUUUGAACAAUUUGCUUUUCCCUGGGAAGUUGAGGACGGACAGCACAUGCCUCUCCUUGGAGAGUAAACUACCCAGUGGUGUAUGUUGAA